UGUGUGGAACUCAUGAUUAGAGAAUCCUGAUUCUCGAUCACAGAGUUUCAAACAUGUAGGACUCAAAGUCCAUGAGCAUUAGGACUCUUCACCAGCCAUCAGAUCAAAUAGGAAUCUCUAAUGUGUGUGACCCCGCAGGUUCGAAUCUAAGCCGAUAGCACAGGAACCAAUUCCUGUACUAAUCGAAGUGACCAUCUAGCAAUGGUA
rnacentral:lncRNA from 1 species